UAACGAUAAUGCGGGUGAAAAGCCCGCACGCCGAAAGCCCCAGGUUUCCUUGCGCAACGUUCAUCGGCGCAGGGUGAGUCGGCCCCUAAGGCGAGGCAGAAAUGCGUAGUCGAUGGAAAGCUGGUUAAUAUUCCAGCACCGCUCGUGAUUGCGAUGGGAUGACGGAGAAGGCUAGGUGUACCGGGCGUUGGUUGUCCCGGGGAAAGGCGGUAGGUGUGGAUCUUAGGCAAAUCCGGGAUCCUCUACACCGAGCACCGAGACGAGUUCAUUAGAACGAAGUCACCGAGGCCACGCUUCCAGGAAAAGUCUCUAAGCUUCAGGUCACGAGGACCGUACCGCAAACCGACACAGGUAGGCAGGGUGAGAAUCCCAAGGCGCUUGAGAGAACUCGGGUGAAGGAACUAGGCAACAUAGCACCGUAACUUCGGGAGAAGGUGCGCCCAGUAUCGUGGUGAUAUGCAUCAUUGAGCGAUAUUGGGCCGCAGUGACCAGGCCGCUGCGACUGUUUAUCAAAAACACAGCACUCUGCAAACACGCAAGUGGACGUAUAGGGUGUGACGCCUGCCCGGUGCCGGAAGGUUAAUUGAUGGGGUCAGCGCAAGCGAAGCUCUUGAUCGAAGCCCCGGUAAACGGCGGCCGUAACGAUAACGGUCCUAAGGUAGCGAAAUUCCUUGUCGGGUAAGUUCCGACCUGCACGAAUGGCGUAACGACAGCGGCGCUGUCUCCACCCGAGACUCAGUGAAAUUGAAAUCGCUGUGAAGAUGCAGCGUUCCCGCGGCAAGACGGAAAGACCCCGUGAACCUUUACUACAGCUUUACACUGAACGUUGAGUUCGUCUGUGUAGCAUAGGAGGGAGCCUUUGAAGUCCAGGCGCUAGCUUGGAUGGAGGCGACGUUGAAAUACCACCCUGAUGUGCUUGACGUUCUAACCUCGGCCCGUAAUCCGGGUCAGGGACCGUGUAUGGUGGGUAGUUUGACUGGGGCGGUCUCCUCCUAAAGAGUAACGGAGGAGCACGAAGGUGAGCUCAGCGCGGUCGGACAUCGCGCAGUGUGUGCAAUGGCAUAAGCUCGCUUGACUGCAAGAUCGACGGAUCAAGCAGGUACGAAAGUAGGUCAUAGUGAUCCGGUGGUUCUGUAUGGAAGGGCCAUCGCUCAACGGAUAAAAGGUACUCCGGGGAUAACAGGCUGAUACCGCCCAAGAGUUCAUAUCGACGGCGGUGUUUGGCACCUCGAUGUCGGCUCAUCACAUCCUGGGGCUGUAGUCGGUCCCAAGGGUAUGGCUGUUCGCCAUUUAAAGUGGUACGCGAGCUGGGUUCAGAACGUCGUGAGACAGUUCGGUCCCUAUCUGUCGUGGGCGUUGGAGAUUUGAGAGGGGCUGCUCCUAGUACGAGAGGACCGGAGUGGACGUACCCCUGGUGUUCCGGUUGUCACGCCAGUGGCAUUGCCGGGUAGCUACGUACGGAAGAGAUAACCGCUGAAAGCAUCUAAGCGGGAAACUCGCCUCAAGAUGAGAUCUCCCGGGACACAAGUCCCCUAAAGGAACGAUGAAGACUACGUCGUUGAUAGGCAGGGUGUGUAAGACCGUGAGGUUCAGCUAACCUGUACUAAUGAUCCGUGUGGCUUGUCC
rnacentral:rRNA from 1 species